GCACCCAAGCAGAUAGCUCAGUUGAUUAGAGCACGAGGUUGCAGGUUCAAUCCCUGUUUGGGACA